ACGUAAUUAACUAUUUAAGAAAUUAAAAAUAAACCUUCGUUUCUCGUACGACCGAGUGGAUGAUACACGUAAACCUAGAAACUAUAACACUACCUAUAGGUUCUACGACAUUCCGAGGCAUCAACCAACAUAUUUUAAGACAUCACUACUUUGAAAUUAUGAAAUCAACUGAAAUACUUAAAUAUCCGCUCAUAGACUUGGAUUAUAUUCGUUAAUAAUUAGUAAAUGGACGACUACAUCGAGUUUGGAGUGCGAGUUAAUGUCCGCGAAUAAUUCAUAGGCCGUGGCAUGAAUAUACACCAGGUCCAGCAUCUUUCCUACACACGGUCAAGAUCGUUCGUGGACUAGCGGGAGGA